rnacentral:SRP_RNA from 1 species
GCUGGGCAUGGUGGCGCAUGCCUGUAAUUCCAGCUACUGGGGAGGCUGAGGCAAGAGAAUUGCUUGAACCUAGGAGGCAGAGGUUGCAGUGAGCUGAGAUCGUGCCACUGCACCUCAGCCUGGGUUACAGAGUGAGACUAGGUCUCAA